UGCACCGUGGCGCAGUUGGUAGCACUGUUGCCUUGCAGCAGGAAAGUCCUGGGCUCGAUUCCCGACGGGGGUCUUUCGGCAU